GAAUAUUGCGCAGUGUACGCAAGCAUUAUGCAACCAUGCCGCGUGCAUGAAGAAGGCAUUCGGGUGGUAAAAUACUUUCAGCGGGGAGGAAGGUAGGGGGUUAAUAACCUCAGCAAUUUAGGUUACCCGCAGAAGAAGAACAGGAUAGGUCCGUGCCAGCAGCUCCGGUAAUACAGAGGGUGCAAGCGUUAAUCGGAAUUGAUAGGCGUAAAGCGCACACAGGCGGUCGGUCAAAUCAGAUAGAAAUCCCUGGGAUCAACCAGGGAAGAGCAUUCGAAAGUGGCAGGAUAGAGUGUUGUAGAGGGGGGUAGAAUGCCAGGUGAAGCGGUGAAAUGCGUAGAGAUCUGGAGGAAUCCCGGUCGAGAAGGCGGCCCCUUGGACAAAGACUGACGCUCCGGAGGGAAGGCAUGGGGAGGAGACAACAUUAGAAACCCCGGAGUACUCCCCGUAAACGAUGACGGUGUGGAGGUUUUGCCCUCAGGCGUGGGUGCCGAAGCGAACACCUAUAAGGUGGACCCCUCCUUUGGCGC
rnacentral:rRNA from 1 species